AUACCUUUCUCGGCCUUUUGGCUAAGAUCAAGUGUAGUAUCUGUUCUUAUCAGUUUAAUAUCUGAUAUGUGGCCCAUCGGGUCACACGAUAUUAAUUCUAUUUUUUAAGAGAGAAGAUCCAUUAAGAUAGCUUGCUAUCUGGAUUUUCAUGAGUCGUCCAUGUGAUGCACUACUGCAUGGCUCGGCUCAUCCCAC